rnacentral:lncRNA from 1 species
GUUAGAUAGAGUGCAAAAUACACCUUUAAGGUAUGGGUUUAUUAUUAAGAAUAAUGAAGCCCACAUCAUGGGAAAUGAUAAACCUUUGACCUAUAUGGAAGCUGUUAUGAGUAGGGACUCAGACAAAUGGCAAGAGGCUAUGAAAUUUGAAAUAAAUUUCAUGUACACCAAUCAAGUAUGGACUUUGGUUAAUCCACCAGAGAGUGUUA